UAGGGAAUCUUCGGCAAUGGACGAAAGUCUGACCGAGCAACGCCGCGUGAGUGAAGAAGGUUUUCGGAUCGUAAAACUCUGUUGUUAGAGAAGAACAAGGACGUUAGUAACUGAACGUCCCCUGACGGUAUCUAACCAGAAAGCCACGGCUAACUACGUGCCAGCAGCCGCGGUAAUACGUAGGUGGCAAGCGUUGUCCGGAUUUAUUGGGCGUAAAGCGAGCGCAGGCGGUUUCUUAAGUCUGAUGUGAAAGCCCCCGGCUCAACCGGGGAGGGUCAUUGGAAACUGGGAGACUUGAGUGCAGAAGAGGAGAAUGGAAUUCCAUGUGUAGCGGUGAAAUGCGUAGAUAUAUGGAGGAACACCAGUGGCGAAGGCGGCUCUCUGGUCUGUAACUAACGCUGAGGCUCGAAAGCGUGGGGAGCAAACAGG
rnacentral:rRNA from 1 species